rnacentral:rRNA from 1 species
GUGCCAGCCGCCGCGGUAAUACUUAGGGUGCAAGCGUUAUCCGGAAUUAUUGGGCGUAAAGAGCUCGUAGGCGGUUUGUCACGUCUGCUGUGAAAACCCGAGGCUCAACCUCGGGCCUGCAGUGGGUACGGGCAGACUAGAGUGCGGUAGGGGAGAUUGGAAUUCCUGGUGUAGCGGUGGAAUGCGCAGAUAUCAGGAGGAACACCGAUGGCGAAGGCAGAUCUCUGGGCCGUAACUGACGCUGAGGAGCGAAAGCGUGGGGAGCGAACAGGAUUAGAUACUCCCGUAGUCC